rnacentral:misc_RNA from 1 species
CUGAAGUGCUUGAAGAUGUUGCUGGCUUCUUUCCGAGGCAAUGUGCACUCUUCAAACUUUCACUAUCUCCUUCAACCCCCUUUGUGCACUCCUUGUAGGGCCCCCCCCUCUCCCGGGGGAGACUCUAUGUAUUUUGCCUAAUUGUCACACUUGCAUUGAAUGUGUGUGUAUGCUUAUUUUUACUUAUGAAAA